rnacentral:rRNA from 1 species
AUUGAACGCUGGCGGCAGGCCUAACACAUGCAAGUCGAGCGGAGCGGCGGACGGGUGAGUAAUGUAUGGGGAUCUGCCCGAUAGAGGGGGAUAACCACUGGAAAAGGUUGCUAAUACCGCAUACUGUCGGAUUAAACCAUUUGGGAUGAGCUCGUUGGUGGGGUAAAGGCCUACCAAGGCGACGAUCCGUAACUGGUCUGAGAGGAUGAUCAGUCACACUGGAACUGAGACACGGUCCAGACUCCUACGGGAGGCAGCAGUGGGGAAUAUUGGACAAUGGGCGAAAGCCUGAUCCAGCCAUGCCGCGUGUGUGAAGAAGGUCUUCGGAUUGUAAAGCACUUUAAGUUGGGAGGCGUUACCAACAGAAUAAGCACCGGCUAACUUCGUGCCAGCCGCCGCGGUAAUUC